rnacentral:rRNA from 1 species
GUGCGGAACACGUGUGCACUGCCUUUAUCUGGGGGAUAGCCUUUCGAAAGGAAGAUUAAUACCCCAUAAUAUGUUGAAUGGCAUCAUUCGACAUUGAAAACUCCGGUGGAUAGAGAUGGGCACGCGCAAGAUUAGAUAGUUGGUGGGGUAACGGCUCACCAAGUCUACGAUCUUUAGGGGGCCUGAGAGGGUGAUCCCCCACACUGGUACUGAGACACGGACCAGACUCCUACGGGAGGCAGCAGUGAGGAAUAUUGGACAAUGGGUGAGAGCCUGACCCAGCCAUCCCGCGUGAAGGACGACUGCCCUAUGGGUUGUAAACUUCUAUUGUAUAGGGAUAAACUACCCUCGUGAGGGUAGCUGAAGGUACUAUACGAAUAAGCACCGGCUAACUCCGUGCCAGCAGCCCGCGGUACUACCGGAGGGUCGCAACGCGGCANUCCCGGAUCCCACCGGCGCCAACACGGGCUCCGCACGGGCCGGGGAAUCCCNGGGCAAAACCGCCCAACGUCAGGGUCGGAAAAAUACCUCCAAACAGGCAGUUCAAAGCCUCGGNGCGAAACCUCGGCACUNUCGGACUCACCNCGGCACAGNCCCCUA